GACGAACGCUGGCGGCAUGCUUAACACAUGCAAGUCGAACGGAAAGUCCCGGCUUUUGUGGGGUGCUCGAGAGGCGAACGGAAGAGUAACACGUGGGGAGCCGGACCACGGCUGGGGGAGAACUUCAGGAAACUGGGGCUAGUACCGGAUAGGGACUCAUGCGCCAGGGGGGGGGUUGGCAAGUGUCGGCGGAGGUGGAGGGGCUCGCGGCUUCUCAGCUUAUUGGUGGGGUAGGGGCUUACCAAGGCUUUGACGGGUAGGCGGCCGGAGAGGGGGACCGGCCACCAUGGUACUGCGAUACGGCCCCGACUACUCCGGCGGGCAGCAGUGGGGAAUAUUGCACAAUGGGCGGAAGCCUGAUGCCGCAGCGCCGCGUGCGGGAUGACGGCCUUCGGGGUGUAGACCGCUUUCGCCUGCGACGAAGCGUGAGUGACGGUAAUGGGUAAAGAAGCACCGGCUAACUCCGUG
rnacentral:rRNA from 1 species